rnacentral:rRNA from 1 species
UGCCUACGGGGGGCAGCAGUGAGGAAUAUUGGUCAAUGGCCGGAAGGCUGAACCAACCAAGUCGCGUGAGGGACGACUGCCCUAUGGGUUGUAAACCUCUUUUAUAAGGGAAGAAUAAAUGCUACGUGUAGCAUGAUGCCUGUACCUUAUGAAUAAGCAUCGGCUAACUACGUGCCAGCAGCCGCGGUAAUACGUAGGUGGCAAGCGUUAUCCGGAUUUAUUGGGUGUAAAGGGCGUGUAGGCGGGAGCGGAAGUCAGAUGUGAAAACUCAGGGCU